rnacentral:rRNA from 1 species
GAAUUCAACUCCUACGGGAGGCAGCAGUGGGGAAUAUUGGACAAUGGGCGAAAGCCUGAUCCAGCCAUGCCGCGUGUGUGAAGAAGGUCUUCGGAUUGUAAAGCACUUUAAGUUGGGAGGAAGGGCAGUUACCUAAUACGUAAUUGUUUUGACGUUACCGACAGAAUAAGCACCGGCUAACUCUGUGCCAGCAGCCGCGGUAAUACAGAGGGUGCAAGCGUUAAUCGGAAUUACUGGGCGUAAAGCGCGCGUAGGUGGUUUGUUAAGUUGGAUGUGAAAUCCCCGGGCUCAACCUGGGAACUGCAUUCAAAACUGCCUGACUAGAGUAUGGUAGAGGGUAGUGGAAUUUCCUGUGUAGCGGUGAAAUGCGUAGAUAUAGGAAGGAACACCAGUGGCGAAGGCGACUACCUGGACUGAUACUGACACUGAGGUGCGAAAGCGUGGGGAGCAAACAGGAUUAGAAACCCCAGUAGUCCAGGCGUU